CCCGUGCAUUCCCAACGCAUUUCUCCACCCUGGCAACACUCAGGAUUGGUCUCUCAGAAGCUGCACUCCCAAUGGGGAUAUUUGUUUAAGGGACUGCUCAGAGAGAUGUGCUUGAAGUGCCCUGGUCAGCACUGAGGUUCCCUCAAGGCCAAGAAUAGACAAGGCGGCCUCGCGAAGUCCUUCCUGGGCUUGGGCUUCUGGUUUGUGGAGGAAUAGGUGGAUGCAGCUGGUUGGAACACACAGUGCGCCUGUGUAGCAGAAGUGCUAAGUCAUGGCUUGAAGCAGUGAUGGAGCACCUGGCUGGUGGGAAGGUAGGGCCAACCCAGGGGAACUCAGGUGUAUGCAAUGAGUCUGAGUGACUGGAAGGGCUGGGGCCAGGAUCCACCCCAUCCCAGACCUCAUUUAAGGGUUCCCAGUGGAGGUGAGGGGUUCUUGAUGGGGACUCCUGUCUACCUGAGGCCUUCUAAAGUCUUUAAACAGUACUACAAGAUAGUGAAAAUACCCUGCAGAACCCCUCCAUGGAUAGCAGCCUCACAGUACAACUGCAGCAUCCACAAGUGGGAGGACGUGGAGGGCCCAAGUCAGAGAUCAAGUCAUACUAACACAUAUUUCUUCCCUUUGGAUUGCAAGUCAACCAGCCUGCAACUCUGCCACCUUAAGAUAGCUUCAGAAAACUGCAGGCUCCUGCUGGCCAGACUAGCCCUGACGCCUCCUCCAUCCUCUAUCUCCAACUUCCAUCUCCAUCCUUCACCCUGCGUCCUCCUGACGAUCCCAGAGCACAGAGCAGGAGCACAACCUGCUGAUGACAACUGGUUUUCCUGCAGAACUAUCAGUGGUUUGGAUGAUGAGUUUCCUCCUGAAAGGACCUGGUCCUUUUGGUGCCAGGACCAGGUGACACCGAUGGCUCUGCAGAUUUCUCCACCAUUUUCCUCCUUGUAGAUCCCAGCUGGCUCUGUGGAGGAGCCUCGUCUUGAGCACUGGAUGAAGGACAUAAAGAGAGGGCAAGAGAUGUGAGGAGCAGCUGGAACCCCUUCAUUUGUUUGGCUCAGAGAAGAGGAGGCUGAGGGGAGGCCUUGUGGUGCCCAGCAGCUCUUCGUGGCCCUGCAGCUCCUCAUGGUGACCCUACAUCUCCUUCAUGGCAGCCCAACAGCUCCUUCAUGGCAGCCCAAAAGCUCCUCAUGGUGUCCCUACAUCUAUUUCAUAGCAGCCCUACAGCUCCUCAUGGAGGAAAGCAAGAGCUGUGUGGCCACAGCCCUACCACGGAUGGCCCUGCCAGCCUUCCCAUGAAGUGCCUACCCCCCCAGCCUUCCUAACGAAGGGGAAGCCCAUCCUGCCUCAUUAGGGGACUGGGAACAGCAGCAUUGUUUCCUGCAGGAUGGCUCCAACACACUGCUGGCUUGUGCUGGGGAUGCUGGAGCAGCGUGUGUUAAAUCAGGAGCCAGUGAAGCCCUUCUGCUGCAGAAUGCAGCCCAAUACCCUGCACACCUCCAUCACUUUGAGAUGCUCCAUUGAGUGGUGUUGCGUAGCAGGAC
ensembl:lncRNA